GAUGAACGCUGGCGGCGUACCUAAUACAUGCAAGUCGAGCGAACAGACGAGGAGCUUGCUCCUCUGACGUUAGCGGCGGACGGGUGAGUAACACGUGGAUAACCUACCUAUAAGACUGGGAUAACUUCGGGAAACCGGAGCUAAUACCGGAUAAUAUAUUGAACCGCAUGGUUCAAUAGUGAAAGACGGUUUUGCUGUCACUUAUAGAUGGAUCCGCGCCGCAUUAGCUAGUUGGUAAGGUAACGGCUUACCAAGGCAACGAUGCGUAGCCGACCUGAGAGGGUGAUCGGCCACACUGGAACUGAGACACGGUCCAGACUCCUACGGGAGGCAGCAGUAGGGAAUCUUCCGCAAUGGGCGAAAGCCUGACGGAGCAACGCCGCGUGAGUGAUGAAGGUCUUCGGAUCGUAAAACUCUGUUAUUAGGGAAGAACAAAUGUGUAAGUAACUAUGCACGUCUUGACGGUACCUAACCAGAAAGCCACGGCUAACUACGUG
rnacentral:rRNA from 1 species